GCUUUUCCCAUCCAAAAAGCAUCCCCCCUCCUCUCCACAAGGGUGAGUACGAUGGGUGGAGGUCAAGGUGGGCGAAGUAUUGUCAGGUGUCCUUGGAGCCAAUAGUCUGGGGAUGCGAUUUUGGCCUCUCCUACUGCUGCUGAAGGGGAGGUGCUGAAACUACAACAUAGCCUGAAGAAAUGAAACAAAAUUAACAGAAGGAAAAGAAAGAAUGCUAAGAAAUUAUAAUGACUAUUGGCCCUGGAGAAGAGAUGAGAAGAUGCGCUUCCCUGCCUCCUCUCAAGAGGGAUAGUUUGCUGGAUGGGGAAGAGGAGAGAGUCAUUCAGAAAUGAACGUUAUGUAAAAAGUAAGGAAAUGGAAGUCUCUUAGCCAAGAAAACUUCAUGGGCAAAAUGGUCGUCCAUGAGAUAGUGAAGAAUCAGAGCAACAAUAAAAAUAUUCCUGGAACUGGCCAAGGUGCUAGAAAUAAAAAGAUGAAAAUGAAGUCUCUGCCUUCAAGGAGCUUACGCCUUAGCUACUGUUUCAGGAGACAAGUAUUCAAAUACAAGCAUAAAUAAGAUACACACACACAUAAAUAUAUAUACCAAAUACAUAUAUAGCUGAUAGAAGGUAAUCCUGGAGGAACAAAGGAAACCAGCAUUUAUUAUGCAUCUAAUACUGUGUAUCAGGCACUGUGUUAAGUACUUUACAAAUAUUAUCUCAUUUAAUCUUCACAACAACCCUUGGAGGUAGAUACAUGUAUUAUCC